CCUACGGGAGGCAGCAGUGAGGAAUAUUGGUCAAUGGGCGCUAGCCUGAACCAGCCAAGUAGCGUGCAGGAUGACUACCCCAUGGGUUGUAAACUUCUUUUAUAUGGGAAUAAAGUGCAGUAUGUAUACUGCUUUGCAUGUACCUUAUGAAUAAGGAUCGGCUAACUCCGUGCCAGCAGCCGCGGUAAUACGGAGGAUUCGAGCGUUAUCCGGAUUUAUUGGGUUUAAAGGGAGCGUAGGCGGGUUGUUAAGUCAGUUGUGAAAGUUUGCGGCUCAACCGUAAAAUUGCAGUUGAUACUGGCAGCCUUGAGUACAGUAGAGGUAGGCGGAAUUCGUGGUGUAGCGGUGAAAUGCUUAGAUAUCACGAAGAACUCCGAUUGCGAAGGCAGCCUGCUGGACUGUAACUGACGCUGAUGCUCGAAAGUGUGGGUAUCAAACAGGAUUAGAUACCCCAGUAGUC
rnacentral:rRNA from 1 species